AUGUCUAAAUUGUCAGCAGAAGAAAAAGAACAAUAUGAAUUCAACAAUAUUGAAUUUUUUUUCCUGCAAAUGAACAUCAACAUAAGCAACAAAGAGUUCAACAUAAAAAUCGAAAAACAAAAUCAAGAAACAAAUCCAACGAAUUUCAUCAUAACUUUCAUCGAUGCAAUAACUUGUAUGAAUUUUUUGUUUUACAGGUAA